rnacentral:rRNA from 1 species
AAAAAAAAUCAAUAAAAUUAAAUUAACAAGAAAAAUUUCUAAUAUAUAUAUAUUAAUGUGCGUACCGCAAACCGACACAGGUAAUUAAGUAGAGAAUACUAAGGCGUGUGAGACAAUCUAAGUGAAGGAACUAGGCAAAAUAGUAUCGUAACUUUUGGAGAAGAUACACUAGAAUAUUUAUAAAUUUUUUUGUAAAGAACUAGUCUAAGAGGUAAGGUGGCUGCAACUGUUUAUUAAAAACACAGCACUCUGCUAACGUGUAAACGGAUGUAUAGGGUGUGACGCCUGCCCGGUGCUGGUAGGUUAAUUGAGAAUGUUAAUUUAAAAAUAAAGCAUUUAAUAUAAGCCCCAGUAAACGGCGGCCGUAACUAUAACGGUCCAAAGGUAGCGAAAUUCCUUGUCGGGUAAGUUCCGACCUGCACGAAUGGCGUAAUGAUGGUCACGCUGUCUCCAUUUAGAACUCAGUGAAAUUGAAUUUGCUGUGAAGAUGCAGUGUAUUUACGGCUAGACGGAAAGACCCCGUGAACCUUUACUAUAACUUCACAUUGAAUAUUGAAAAUUUUUGUGUAGGAUAGCUGGGAGACGUUGAUAUAUAAACACAAGUUUAUAAGUAGUCAAUCUUGAAAUACCAGUCUAAGAUUUUUGAUAUUCUAAUAUAUUUUUGUAAUCCAUUAUAUAAACAAUGUGUGGUGGGUAGUUUGACUGGGGCGGUCUCCUCCUAAAAAGUAACGGAGGAGUACAAAGGUACUCUCAAUACGUUUGGAAAUCGUAUGUUGAGCAUAAGAGCAUAUGAGUGCUUAACUGUAAGAUAGACAUAUCAAACAGAUACGAAAGUAGGUUCUAGUGAUCCGAUAAUCCUGAAUGGAAAGGUUAUCGCUCAACGAAUAAAAGGUACUCCGGGGAUAACAGGCUAAUACUGCCCAAGAGUUCAUAUCGACGGCAGUGUUUGGCACCUCGAUGUCGGCUCAUCACAUCCUGGGGCUGGAGUUGGUCCCAAGGGUAUGGCUGUUCGCCAUUUAAAGUGGUACGCGAGCUGGGUUUAGA